rnacentral:misc_RNA from 1 species
AGAAGAAUGUGUUGGAGAGUUGUUUCAAGGAGAGACCAGACUGUGAUAUGGGCCAAACCUCUGAGUAACAGUUGUUAUAUGAAGAGAAGUCGGGGGACACAACCUCCAUUGUGCAUUUCUGGUGAUGAGCCCGAUGAAUCUUGGAAUGUACCGAUGAAAGCUUGCAUCACUCCUUACUCAGCAAAGGUGCAUAAGGAAAAAGGAACCGGGCUAGAACCUUGGCCACGGAGGCUUAUGGCUCCGCCACCUCGCUUGGAGGAAAUUGGUGUCACAUUGGACGAAUUCCAUAAAGACACUAACGUAUGGCAUGAAAGAGUAGUCGAGUAUUGGAAGCAGAUGAAGUCUGUUGUCCUUAAAAACUCAGUUAGGAAUGUGAUGGACAUGAACUCAAACCUCGGUGGGUUUGCAGCUGCACUUAAGGAUAAGGACAUUUGGGUGAUGAAUGUUGCUCCUGUUAAUAUGUCAUCAAGAUUGAAAAUAAUUUAUGAUCGAGGCUUAAUCGGAACAGUUCAUGACUGGUGUGAAUCAUUUUCAACGUAUCCACGCACGUAUGACCUACUUCAUUCGUGGAUGAUCCUCUCGGAGACAGAAGAUCGAGGGUGCAGCAUCGAGGAUCUACUUAUUGAGAUGGACCGUAUGCUAAGGCCAGAAGGAUUUAUCAUUAUAAGGGACAAGCCUCAUAUAAUAAACUCCGUAAGAAAAUUCUUGCCUGCUCUAAAGUGGGAUGGAUGGUCAUCAGAGGUAGAACCAAGGACUGAUGCUCUCUCCUUGAGCGAAGAAAGAAUUCUAAUCAUAAGAAAGAAUUUUUGGCGCGAGAAGUUAACAGUUUAGUGCAUUUGUUAUGGAAUGAAAGCUGGAUACUGGUGGGGAAACUCUGAUCUAUUGUUGGCUUUUGGAACCAAAAAAUAGUGUUCCCAAAGAUCAAUGUACUAUUGAAUAUAUAUAUAUAUAUAUGCAAAGGAGUUGGGAGGUGGGGUUAGAGUAUAUCAAUGUUCUUCACAGCCAUAUUUUGUACUUAACUUUGGUCCA